AUGGUUGGAGGUUUCUAUAAACCACGUCGGCCGUCGCCAACACAGCCCACUCCCAUCCCCGCACCGCCCAAGGAGCCUCCCAAAAUCCGGUUUUCAGCUGCGGCGGCCGCUGCUUCCCGCCGGCGACGAACUAAUGGUGGAUGCUGGUCUUUGUUUUUGCUGGAUGCCAUGACAGAUAAGGGCAACAAGUUGGGUGUCGCCGGCCGGAGGAGUCGCAGGGUGGCAUGCGCCGGUGGCGUGAGGCAUGCUCGGUCUUCCCAGUCGUCCGACAGGUUCAACCCCAAGGCGCCCGAUUGGACAAAAAGGUUGCGUCUCGGCAGUGCACCACCCGACAGGAUGCCGUGCCCCUCUAGGAUGAGUGCACAAGAGAAGUCGAUUCGCAAAUACUCGGAGGAGCCAACACAAAGUGUUAUUACACCAGAACUAGGAAUUAGUUUCGACUCACUUGGCGAUGGAUAUGAUUUCUACACCUUGUAUUCGUGCGAGAUCGGCUUGGGAGUUAGAUCAGCUGAUUUGCAAGUUUCAUGCUAUACUGAGAAGCAACUAUAUGUAACAUGCAUCAACAUAUCUCUGAUGCUCGCUGUCAGUGUACUGAAACCUUCAUCUGAGUUUGAGGAGGAUGUGCUCCAUGCAAGAGGAAGGACAAACGGGGUAGUAGAAAUUCAUCUUAGGGGAAGCAAGCAGAGAACAGUAGAUAGUGCCUGCCGUUCUGGAAUCAGCCUGGCACAGAAUAAUGCCUGA
rnacentral:rRNA from 1 species